GGGCCCGCACAAGCGGUGGAGCAUGUGGUUUAAUUCGAUGAUACGCGAGGAACCUUACCAGGGCUUAAAUGCAGAAUGACAGAUUGGGAAACCAGUCCUUCUUCGGACAUUUGCAAGGUGCUGCAUGGUUGUCGUCAGCUCGUGCCGUGAGGUGUCAGGUUAAGUCCUAUAACGAGCGCAACCCUAUCAUUAGUUGCCAGCGGGUAAUGCCGGGAACUCUAAUGAGACUGCCAGCGCAAGCUGCGAGGAAGGUGGGGAUGAGUCAAAUCAUCACGGCCCUUACGUCCUGGGCUACACACGUGCUACAAUGGUUGGACAAUGGGCAGCCACUACGCGAGUAGGAG
rnacentral:rRNA from 1 species